ensembl:lncRNA
AUCGAAUGUGAACUUUGGCACUUCUGAGCCGGACACCACCUGGAAUGUGGGCCAAACUGGGAUCUGUCUCAAAGGUGCGGUCAUAUGACUGAAUGAGAGUCAACAGAGGUGAACAUGGUCUCCUAAAACUCACUCGACGGCUUUCUUGGUGUGAUCUUGAAUGAUCCGAGCCUGCUGGGGGAGAUCAGAAGCUCGCACGGGGGGAGAUGGGAGGUUUUGGGAACAGACGUGUUGUUGUUGUAGCGUAGGGAGCAGGAGAGAUGACUUUGCUGUGUGGAGUUCGUCUGUGGAUGCGGAGCGAUUGAGAAACUUUUCUUCAUAUGUGCGCGCUGUGAUCGGGAAAAAACUACAGGCACACAUGGAGGCUAUGAAGAGCAGGGAGCUUGGAGCAGCAGAGAAGACGAGCUCCAGCAGCCGCUGCCAGAGGAGGGUAGCGGCGGUCAGCAGUCCUUCCGUGUCCGGGGCACGUCUCACUUUACCUGGGGUCAUGGACGCCGAGGGGAGGGUCGACGAGUCAAGACUGAGGAUGCACAUCUUCAAAAACGGUGGUGUGUGUCCGUCUGAGCGAGGCCUGGCAUGGCGUUUUGUCUUCGGGAUGUACCCGUGCAGCUCCACAGCGUUGGAGCGCUCCCUGCUGCAUGAGCAGCUGCUCGUACGUUACCAAGCCAUGAAAAAAAAGUGGCAGCAGUUCCUUCCCCAGGCUGUGCGGAUGCACCUCAAUGGCACUGAUGCUGAGUUGAUAGCAGCUGUCAAGUACUUUGACCAGAGGGAGGCAGAGGCCCAGCAGCAGACCCAGGAUCAGUGUGAGGAGGUCAGAGACAGGCUGACCUUUUUGGAGCUCCAGGCUCAGAUAUUAUUUGAGCGGGUCACAUUUGAGCAUGAUGAGCUGCGGGAAGCCAUACGAAUCAUUGACAAGGAUGCUCCUCGGACCAACAGAGACCUGAGCUAUUACCAGUGAGUGAUCCUCAGCCAUUAAAAUAAAAUGUUCUGUGCCACAAUUGUUUACUGUUGUUUUAAAAUGAUAAAAAUCAACCUGAUUAAGUCCAAAUCUGUGAAUCUAAUAACUUUUUGUAUCUACAGGAAUGAAGGAUUAGGCAAUCUGUUGGUGUUGAGAGACAUCCUCAUCACAUAUGCUGCUUUUCAUCCAGGUAAUCGGCCACAAUGAGUCCCUUGCAGGGUUAUUGACUCUGACCUGAUCAGUCAGGUUCAGGGGCUUAUUGGUUUUGGUUUGUUUGGUUUGUUUUGGUUUGUUUGCAUCAAUAAAAUAAAAUAACUGUGCAACACUUGAUUAUUGAUCCAGAGGUCAGUUACGCCCAGGGAAUGAAUGACCUGUGCAGCCGCUUCCUGGAGGUGCUUGACUCUGAGGUGGAUACUUUUUGGAGCUUUUCUUGCUACAUGGAGAAAUUCUCAAAGGACUUCAGGGCUGAUGGUCUUCACAGAAAAAUAGGUGGGAAAACACUGCUGCACUUUGCCUGUAAGACCUCACAGAUGCAUAGGGAGCAACAGUGACUUGUUGAUAUAGAUUUUUAGAUGACCUCUA